rnacentral:lncRNA from 1 species
UUUAGCUUUUCAAACUCAAACUCAAACUCAAAAUUUUUUAUUUCAAAUAGGCCUAUGAAAGCUCUUUCGAAACGUCAAAGUUAGGUGCACGGUUCCAAAGAGUUGGUCUCAUGGAGAAGAACCGGCAAGAAACUCCAUGGACACUCUUUUUAAAAGAAAAUAAAAAUAAUUACAAACAUACAGUUUUCUAUCUAGUCCUGAGAAUGUUAUACAAUCCAAAUUGAGCUAAAAAUGUAAUAAUAUAUAAGUGUAUGGAGUAAAUAAUGUUAUUUUUUCAAAUUAGCUGAUUUUCUUUAGUAUUUCUUCUGAAUAAAAUAGUUUGUGUGUGCAAAUAUUAAUACCAUUUACAAAAAGGUCCAAAAUAUAAAUUUUCCAGACUAUGUAUUAAUGCAAAAGUGAUUCGGAUUCUUAUUUAUUUAUUAACUAGCUUCUGCCCGCGACUUCGUACGCGGAUCCUGUCCCUUAUGCCAGCGACUACGGGGUCAGCAAAAUCAAAGAUCUGAACCGUCUGAUAUUGAAUUUUAAGGGCCCGUUGACUUGAAAACAACGGAAUACGGAUAAACAUUAGAAACGUUCCAUAUAUUUAAUUAAAUUGGACUAAACAAAACGCUGAGAACUGAACCGCAAUAGACGUGAUCAUAGGGAUAAAAGUAGUGAUUCUAAUAAGUCUGCAUUAAAUUCUUGACCGUUAUUUGAAGCUUACUAGUUUGAGAUAGGCACCUACGUGUUUUCCGCUUUUAUCUCCGUCCUUUUCUACCCCAUAUCUUGCAUCUCUCUCGCACAUCGACCAGUUUCACUCCCCACCAGGCAGGAGGCGACGAGUGUUCUCGGCGGCCACAGUUCGUCAUUGGCGUCUUGUUUUCCGCCCGAGAAGGUUGGUCUAACCAACCGCUGUAGUAUUUCGUUGAAAAAUAAACUCAGUGCUCUCGCAGAACACAUGUGAGUUUAUAAUAUUUUAUACAAUUUGUUAACGGUUUUACCGUUCGAUAUUCGAUUUUGCGAAAUCAAGUGUUAAUAUUUUGUACAUCUACCCCUUUUUUGUCACGAGUUUCUUCCGUGUACUUUUUUUUUUUUUUUUCAGUAAUUUGUUUUCAGAAUGAGUGACUUAUAAAGCAAAUACAGAUGCGGUAAAUAAUAAAGCUACCACAGCCCGUGCACGUGACUAUGGAAAAGAAAGCAAGCCCGAAGUUCCUAAGGCACCUGCGGCCCUAGUUCAAUCCUGCAAGGCGUUCAACGGUUUGACAAAAAAGAAUGGUGUGAGGUGCGGUCCAACCAGCAUCUCCUUAGUUCGGACUGAUCACUACCGCACUUGAAGAGGGCUGAUGGUGUCAAGAAAGCUUUUUGGCCUUGAAAGACUUGGUACGCUCCCCUCGGACUGCCAGUAAGUCUGUUAGCCACCCCCCAUGGGGGUCGGCUCAUUAUCACGGCGUGUGAUGGUUUUCGGCCUUGAAAGACUUGGUACGCUCCCCUCGGACUACCAGUAAGUCUGUUAGCCACCCCCCGUAGGGGUCGGCUCAUUAUCUCGGCGUGUGAUGCUUUUCGGCCUUGAAAGACUUGGUACGCUCCCCUCGGACUGCCAGUAAGUCUGUUAGCCACCCCCCGUAGGGGUCGGCUCAUUAUCUCUGCGUGUGAUGCUUUUCGGCCUUGAAAGACUUGGUACGCUCCGCCUAGGACUGCCAGUAAGUAUGUUAGCCACCCCCCGCAGGGGUUGGCUCAUUUUCAUGGACCCGCGCAGGGUACCAAUCAUGCAUGUUGCGGGUCGUACCAUCAUUGCAAUCUACCCUCGCAGGGUGGCUAUUUGGAUCGACUUUCGAAGAAUCGCCAUUAUAACCUUCCCUCGAAGGGAAAUGGUAAUCACACUCACGCUGAAUGGCGUGUGACGCAAAACUCGAAAGGCUCCCUUGGGACAUCACGAGUAAAUUACAAUAGGAACCAUGUCCAACAGACGAAACAAAGCGUCCAGGACCGCAGGCGGACUUUGAUGCGUCCAACAAGGCACGUAAGUUAUGACUUUCGAGGCGGGUUGCCUAACAUUAUAUCAAGACCAAUGGAAAGAAAUGGGAGCUCCGCCUUUCUUGUCACAAAUAAUAACUGGGUAUCGGAUACCAUUGGCCAAAAGCCACCUUUGAUAGAUAAUGCCAGAUUUGACCAGAGAGUCCAAAGAGAUGGAUGUCGUCAUAUCCCAAAUGAUAAAACAAAAAGUUCUAUUGAUAGCUGCAAAUUCUGCCAGCUUUCUUUCCAAUAUGUUUCUUGUGCCCGAAAGGCGACGGAAAGAACCGUCCAAUACUCAAUCUCAAGGUUCUCAACAAGUUCAUAAUUACAGAACCCUUCAGUUUAAUAAAUGUUUUUCGGGUGCUAGAGUUUCUUCAGAAAGACGAAUGGCUGUGCAAGUGGAUCUCGCCUAGGCUUACUUCUACCUUCCGUUAGCCGAAGGUCACAGACAUGUUCUUCGACUAGUAUACAGAAGAAGACUACUUCAGAUUACGUGCCUACCAUUUGGCUUAAGCACGGCACCCAAGACCUUCGCCACAGUGACCAAUUGGGUGGCUCAAACUUUGAAAACUCAAGGGUUACUUAUAAUUGUGUAUCUCGAUUUUCUGGUGGCUCACCAAGAUAUAUUCGCCUACUUUGGGAUCAUUUGCACCACGUUUUGGAUGGCAAGUGAAUAAAUCGCAAGCAUUAUCAACAAGAUAAUGUCAAAACGCACUACGUGACAAACAGCACGACAAACUUAGAAGACCUGCAUAGCUUGAUAGGACUUUUAAACUUCGCAAGUUUUUGUUGUCCCAUACGGCAGACUGCAUUACCGGGCUCUCCUCAUUUUCCUCAAUGCAGUGUUGAACAGCAAUCUAUACCUACCCUAUUCAUGGAACCGUGAGCCAAACGGUGAACAAACCAUAAAAAGGGUUCUUAUAAGUCACGAUUGAAGUAAUGAUCAUCAUCAUCAUCAUCAGCCUAUCGCAGUCCACUGCUGGACAUAGGCCUCUCCAAGUAAUGAUCAUAUUUUAUAAAAAUAACUACGAAAGUAAUAUACUGACAACAUUAGAAAUUAUAUUUUAGAACGAUGUCUGUGGAACUUAUGCAAUCUUUUCAAACUUAUUUGAAAUCAAAUAUAAUAAAUGCCGUAAAUUGUUUUCUUAAUUUUAAUUAAAUAUGUGGUAAAUCGUUUACAUGUAAAAGGAACCUAGAAGUCUUGACUGUCAUACAUAGAACCCUACUUAAUUGAAGACCACAGAUACUAAGAACAUUUUACAUAAAAAUGUGACGUUUUUGUCAUCGGUCGGGUUAUACCCACCAUUUUGAAAAGUGUCAUUCUUUGGUUACAUUGUGGGCUCACGGCUCGGUGAAUGGAGUAUAGCAAUGUUGAACCUACCAGCAGAUGCCUUAGCAGAUCUAAAGUGGUGGCUGGUCAGCUGCCACCAAACCUUGGAUAUUCAUACGCCACUUCCCUGUCACCUUAUAACCACGGACGCCUCCGAUGUAGGAUGGGGCCACAACUGAACGGAACUCCCGUAAUGGGUUCAUGGAACAAGAGAGGAAAAGGCUUUCACUGCGAUCUGAAAGAGAUGCUUGCAGUAUUAACUGGAUAAUCACGGCGAGUUGCUAAGGAGAUCAACAGCCAUUUUUCAAUGCAAAAAUGGGACUGUAGUGUCAUAUCUAAGAAAUCAAGGUGGCACCCGAUCAAGGAGCCUACCGAACUUGAUGUACAAAGUAUUCAGUUAUCUCGAGCUGUAUCAAAUCUAUCACGUCGUGAAUCAUAUACCAGCCCUAUUCAACAGUCAUGCAGACCAUCUCUCCCGACACGAACCUCCACCGGAGGGGCAUCUUGUAUCAGCAGUGGACCGAUUUGCCUCGAAGCGAGCCCAGGGAUACAUAGUUGUGUACUACGUGCCCCUAGAUCUGAAGGACCCGAAAGCGGGGUUCCACGAUGCCAUUUUUCUCAAGUUUGGACUUACCCGCUAGCAUGGGUAUUACCGCCACCUUACCUUAUACCGUAGGUCCUCAGUCAUCUCAAUUCAGGAAUGGGAGUUAAUCUCAUAGUAGUUCCUUCGGUGGCACCAGGUAUUUUGGCGAGCAGAUUUGAAGUCCCGAUCAUUAGCAGUACCCUACACACUGAUGAACCUCGAGCAGAAACCGAUAGACACAGCAACGGAGAUACCCCCUGCCAAGGUCAAGGAAAUGGGGAGGGGGGGGGGAGGGACAAGGAGUCUCUCCGACUGAAGUCUUCUUCAAUCCACACGCAAGACUUAUCAAUCAGCUUGGAGUCGAUGGUUAAAUUGGGGCGAAAAGUAUGAAAUUAGAUCCUAUGAAUCCUUGAAUCCCUAUUUGGACCUAUACUUACCCAAUUUUUUUGCGGACUUACACAUAGUAAAUAAACUAGCAUACAAUACUAUUUUAUUACACAAGUCAGUUAUAGCUACACUAUGCAACGCAGAAACCACUGGAGAGCUAGGUUCACACGUUCUAGUCGGACACAUUUUAAAAUCAAUAGCGCUGAGCAAACCUGUUCCCCGGGAAGCCGUCCGUUCCAUCUGGAAUAUUGACCAAUUGGUAACCUACUUAAGUGCAGUAAACGUAGACAAGAAUAAUCCUUUUGCAACUUCCAGGCACACUGCUGCUCUUUCUUUUGCUAGCUUGUUUCGGAAAGGCGAGUCCAUGAUCUUUCCUUGCUUGCAAUAGACCCAGAACAUUUCAAAAACAACAAAGAUAAUUUAAUCUUAUGGCCAGUCUUUGGCUCUAAGACCGACAGUUCUAGUCAUAGGCAGUCGGGUUGUUGUUUGAUGGAUAAUCAGGAAAAUAUAAAUCUAAGUCCAGUGUAUUGGGUCAGAAAGACUAAAGCCUUGUUAGAAGAUAGACGGACAUCGGCUAAUUUCUUAAAUUUAUUUAUAUCCGUUAGAGGCCAACCAAAGGCAGGCACCCGAACGAUGAUUGCGGGUGGAUUAAGACAUUGUUAAAAGAGGCAGGAAUAACUACAACCCCAGGAAGCUUCCACUCGGCGGUAGCGUCAAAAUCUGUGUUGACAAUAUACCUUUGGACGAUAUAUUAGCCAAGGGUAAUUGGCGAUCAGGCAAUACAUUUGCCAAUUUUUACAGAAGAGAAAGAUACCCACUAAAUAGAAGUAGCAAGUUAUCUCGAUUAUUUAAUUAAUCCAGCUGAUUAAUGUCUAUAUUUUUGUUACUAUUGUUAUUAAGAAGUAUCGCAAUAUUUUUGUUAAUUACUAUUAGAAAAUGAAAUCAAUUUUGCUUUUGUUCUUGCAUCUCUCUUUUAAUUUUUAUUACUCAUCCUCCGAGCCCCUUUCCCAACUAUGUUGGGGUCGGCUUCCAGUCUAACAGGAUGUAGCUGAGUACCAGUACCAGUUAACUUUUAUUACAUUAGUAUUCCAGGACGCAAUACACAUACUUACAUGUGAUUACUCGUGUACCUAAGUACCUAUUUACAUACACAAUUUCAUUGUGCUUUUGCUCACAUUGGCGUCCACUUCCACCAGGCGAUAACAAACACGUCUCAAACUAGUAAGCUUCAAAUAACGGUCAAGAAUUUAAUAGCAGCGUUUUACCUGAAAUAAAACGCAUAUUAAAUACUUACCUUAUUUGAAGCUUACAUUUUAAUUUCUGCCUGGUGUUUUCGACUCAAUGACGAACUGU